rnacentral:lncRNA from 1 species
ACUAAACUAAAUUAAACCAGAAAAUGAAUUUUAAAAAAUCGUAAAAAUUUGCAGAGAAAUAGAAGAAAUUACGAAAAUUGAAUUUUGGGCAUUUAGAAUUCAUUCAAACACAACAACCCUCUGCUUCCAAAUCUUCCUACCACUCACCUUAAAUUGCUUUUGUAAUUAUGAAUUAAUCCCCAAGUGUUGGGAGAAAUCGUGGACCCCAAAUUGUUGGGUGGUCUAGUUGAUAAAUCCCUUCGUCUUCGUCGGUCCACAGGCACCGAAAAAGCUUGUGGAAUUCGUCGGGUGGGACGCGUUUCUUGGCGACGAUGGGUUUAUGUUGAUCAUUUUCUUAUUGUUGUAGUCUGUUGUGGGGAUCGGAGAAGACGGUGGUGACUUGGGCGGCAGAGACAACGGUGACAGCGGCGAGGCUGAAUCGUCUUCGGUUAGAACAUUCUUCAUCAUCUCCAUCGACGAGGUCUUCAUUAUUGAAGAUGCCAUACAUUUAAGUAUUUCCUGAUUUGACACCGAGUUGGGCUAAUUGGUCGGAUUCGAGUGAAGCUCUUCAAAGGGGUGGAAAUAGAGAGAGAGAGAGAGAGAGAGAAGGGGGCACCGCCGGCAAAAAAUGAAGAAAAAAGAAUAAAAGUGUGAAAGUGAAGAGAGGGGGCGGGCAUCACCUGCAAAUGAAAAAGAAAGAAUAGGAGAGAGAGAGAAGAAAGAGAAAGA